UAUCCCCGCUGUUUCUGCGGAGCGAGUUUCGGUUUUGGGAAGCCGCCGUCGGAGCGAGUCCGCGGAGAGGCUGGUCGCGCGACCGCCGGGAGCGGAGCGCUUUUGCUCGUUCGCCGGUUUUCGGUUUUUCCUGGCGCUUUUCUUUCUUUCCGUUUGUUUUCGCGAUUUUUGUUUUGUGCGCGAGCGCGGGUGUGCGCGUGUGUGUGCAGCCGCUCGCGUGGCGGUCGGCGGUCGCUCGGAAGGAGCGCGUUUGUGGCAGCCGCUUUUUCUUUUCGCGCUGUGCGCCGGUCGGGUUCGCGGAUUUAGCGAGUGCGAGGUGCCGGUCUUCUAAAGACGCGGUGGUUUUUUUCUUUUAAACAUGUAUUUUCUCGAUCUCGGUUUGGGGAAAGUGCCGAUUUAAGAUCUAAACGGGGAAGGAAGGACAUGGGUGCCUCUUCCUCGUCGGUACAGGAUGGGAUUUUUAAGGUUCUAGUUGAGUUGUUAGAAUUUAAGAAAGCUAGGUUUUCUAAAAGUUGUGUAAAGCGAUUUUCGCAAUGGCUCUGUGUGAUCUUCCCAGAAAUCUCGCGAGCACACGCCCACAGCCCGCAUUUUUGGAGCGCUGCGGAGCAGAAAUUGGCAGAUUUGGCAGAUGCAAAAAGCAGAGACCCGCAAAAAUUUGCGGCCUUAAUUCUGCAGCUCAAAGCCGCAGCGGCGGACUUCAGAGAACUUGAAAAAGAGCCAUUGCGAGGACAGCUUGUCCCGGUUCGCCCUUCCCGCAGCCCCAAACCCUCUCCCCGCAAAAAAGGAAUUUUAAGGAAAGCGGCAGACAAAAGGUCUACCAGCCCCGGCUUUUUUCAAAAUUUCCUGUUCCCCCCCGCCUGCGUAGUCUGGGCCGGACUGCGCGGGAUGCUUCUAGGAGCCCUGGCCCGGCGUCUAGAAGUCCUUCCCCCACCCCGAUUUCUCCCAGUUCCAAGCCAAAAGUUUAUUUUAAAGUUGCUGCGCCACAGACGCCUCGUGGUGGUGGCUGUGGCGUCCAAGAUGCCGGGGACCGCGUGGUCCGUUCACCAUCCCCCGCUCCUUGUCCCCACAAUCCUCUUUGUUCUCCCCACCCUUCCCCUUCACCCCACCCCCUCCCGUCCUCUACCCCACCCACCUGCCCUGCCCCCGAGCCCGCCCAUGGACCCGCCUGCCAGGCGGGGCCAGGGGCGGAGUCCCCGGCGUGUCCCCACCCCGGAAUUCGGUCAUGUUGUUUGUUUGGUUCCCACGGUGACGCUUCCGGUUCCCACGGUCGGAACCAGGACGUAAACAACCGGGAACCAGGGAGUCAGCAGGCUUGCUUCACUGCUGCUCCGGUGACAUUCAGGCGCUCCCGGGGGAACACCAGUGACGAUCCACCCCGCACACUUCAUUCCAUGCUCCAAGUGUGUCAGGUCAAGGUUCCUUUCCUCAGCCGUGGGACUCAGCCUCGACCACCUCUGGCAUCUUCUCUCCCGCGACCUCCACAUGGGGCUCAAGCGUCCCUUGCAGGCCAGACACUGCACAAGCCUUUCCAACGCCGCUCGUCCUUCCGUGGCGAGCAGCAACAGCAGUGCUGCUUCUGCGGAGAAGAAGGACACUGGGCUGCCUCCUGUCCUCACAAACACCAAGGACAGACGACAACGCCCCGAACACCUGGGACUCCUCCACCUUUUCAGCUACAGCCAAAAAAGUAAAGGAGGAGCACGGGUCCACCCAGCGCGAGGACUCUAAUCGGGUGGACCAGGUAAGGGGGUCAACCAAUUUGUGAUAAUUCACCGGACUGGAGAUUUCUCUCUCCUGAAUUUGAACUUGCAAAACCAAUUUUAACAACUAAUUCUCUUUACGAAUCUUACAGGUUGCAGAUCACAGAGCAUGUGAUUCUAAGUGACCACGACUGGCAUUUUGUUACCGCAGAUCCUUGCAGUGUCAGCGACUGGCCAUUGGUAGAGUGCAGACCGACCACAAGAGAAGAUUCCUAUUUUGUUCCUAUUCCAUUUUCCCCCACCAAGACUCCUUUUUCUUGUUUAAUAACAAUAAUUCUGCAUAACAUACUCAACUUCUCUGAAUAAAUGCCAUUCACUCUUCUAUUCUAAAAAAUGCAAAUGAAAGAAUUUAACUCACUCUUUCUUGGCUUUCUUUAUCAUCCAUCUGUACAAAAAGAAAUGAAAAAUUGUUACAUAUAAAGAACAUAUAAACAAAAAUACUGUAAAUGUAAAAUUUAGCAAAUAUUAUUCCUAAACAAAGAUUCUAUUCUGUAGAUAUACAGGUAUACAUUUCAACUGGAUUACCUGAGUAUAUAAAUACAUUUAUGAAUUACUGAGGAGUAAAACAAUUGUCUUGAAGUAAAUUCAAAGAAGGAAAAUAAAUGUCCCAAUAACAAAGAACAGAAUAGGCAAGACUUAAUAAAGAAAUACUUUCUUAUAGUGGAAGGCAGUUCUGUUUGAUCCAUAUCUGUUGCAUCCUUAUCUGUUUCAUCCAUGUCUGUUGCAUCCUUAUCUGUUUCAUCCAUGGUUUUGUAAUGGACUCCGAGAGCUCGAUCAAUUCUAAAGUAAACCACAGCAUCAGAAGUGCAGAAAGACUACAAAUGAUAUAUUAAAAACAAUCCGAACACUUAAAUCGAUGCAACCUAUUUUUUCAUUACUAACUCCUUGAUCACUAAAUCUCACUACAACUAUAUCAAGCAAACACUGUUAUUUGUCAAAUGUCUAAUGUGUACUGUCUCUUUCACCUGAAUUUCAACAUGUCUUAAAUUACAUUAAACUCACAGUAUCCGAUUAAUCGUCUGCUCCUGCUCCUUGGUUCUGUGGUCCGCCAGUCGUUUACUCUGUGGUGGAGGCUUUUUAGGUGUGACUGGUGGAGCCUGGAGCACGGGGAUGAAACGAAAUUGUCGAAGUCCAUUUCUUGGUGCUUGCUUUAUCGGAGCGUGCCAUCUAAAACCAUAACAAAACCAAAAAAGACAACAACAGUUCAUGUACAGAGAUGUGAGGAGAGAGGAGAG